CAUAAAGAAACUAAGGUCUACAAGAGUAAUAUAGUUGAUUGGAUGUAUCCCAAAGCUUUGUACAAGUUGGUUUCCCUUCAAUCAAUAGAAGUCUCCAAUUACAAUGACACCAAACUUUUAGAUAUUUUGGGGAUUGUCAUAAAUGCAGGUAAAGCAUUUGUUUGUAACGAUGACGCAACCCGUAUGCAAGAGGUUGUUGUUCUAGAUAGAAGUUGCGUUGCUGUUAGAUUGAUUCUUAUGAACCAAUUUGUUAGUGAAUAUGAAAACGAGGUUCAACAAAUUGUUGGACAGUACAACACACUAUUGACUUGUGGGGUGUAUGUUAGGAAAAUAAAUGGUGCGAUUUGUACACAAAUUAAAAUAAUUUUCUUAAAAGUGAUAAUAAUGGUUUUCUUAAAAGUAAUAAUAUUAAUUAUGUU